rnacentral:rRNA from 1 species
AUGCAAGUCGAGCGGUAACAUUUCUAGCUUGCUAGAAGAUGACGAGCGGCGGACGGGUGAGUAACGCGUAGGAAUCUGCCUAGUAGUGGGGGACAACAUGUGGAAACGCAUGCUAAUACCGCAUACGCCCUACGGGGGAAAGGAGGGGAUCUUCGGACCUUUCGCUAUUAGAUGAGCCUGCGUGAGAUUAGCUAGUUGGUGGGGUAAAGGCCUACCAAGGCGACGAUCUCUAGCUGGUCUGAGAGGAUGAUCAGCCACACUGGGACUGAGACACGGCCCAGACUCCUACGGGAGGCAGCAGUGGGGAAUAUUGGACAAUGGGCGCAAGCCUGAUCCAGCCAUGCCGCGUGUGUGAAGAAGGCCUUAGGGUUGUAAAGCACUUUCAGGAGUGAGGAAGGGCGUAUAGUUAAUACCUGUAUGUGUUGACGUUAACUCCAGAAGAAGCACCGGCUAACUCUGUGCCAGCAGCCGCGGUAAUACAGAGGGU